rnacentral:rRNA from 1 species
UACGAGGGGUGCAAGCGUUGCUCGGAAUUAUUGGGCGUAAAGGGUAGGUAGGUGGUCUCAUUUGUCUGGGGUGAAAUCCUUGGGCUUAACCCAAGAAGUGCCCUGGAAACGGUGGGACUAGAAUCUCCGAGAGGGUCGUGGAAUUCCCGGUGUAGCGGUGAAAUGCGUAGAGAUCGGGAGGAACGCCGAAGGUGAAAACAGCUCGCUGGGGCUGCGCUGACGCUGAGACACGAAAGCCAGGGGAGCAAACGGG